GACGAACGCUGGCGGCGUGCCUAAUACAUGCAAGUCGAACGCAGUGGGGACGGGUGUGUACCACGUUGGUAACCUCCCCAUCAGAGGGGAUAACACUUGGAAACAGGUUCUAAACCGAUACUGAUGGAUGGACCCGCAGUGCAUUAGCUAGUUGGUGAGGUAACGGCUCACCAAGGCCACGAUGCAUAGCCGACCUGAGAGGGUAUUCGGCCACAAUGGGACUGAGACACGGCCAAGACGCCUCCGGGAGGCAGCAGUAGGGAAUCUGCGGAAAUGGACGAAAGUCUGACCGAGCAACGCCGCGGGAGUGAAGAAGGUUUUCGGAUCGUAAAACUCUGUUGUUAGAGAAGCGGUAUCUAACCAGAAAGCCACGGCUAACUACGUGCCAGCAGCCGCGGUAAUUC
rnacentral:rRNA from 1 species